rnacentral:rRNA from 1 species
AUUGAACGCUGGCGGCAUGCCUUACACAUGCAAGUCGAACGGUAACAGGUCUUCGGAUGCUGACGAGUGGCGAACGGGUGAGUAAUACAUCGGAACGUGCCUAGUAGUGGGGGAUAACUACUCGAAAGAGUGGCUAAUACCGCAUGAGAUCUACGGAUGAAAGCAGGGGAUCGCAAGACCUUGUGCUACUAGAGCGGCCGAUGGCAGAUUAGGUCGUUGGUGGGAUAAAAGCUUACCAAGCCGACGAUCUGUAGCUGGUCUGAGAGGACGAUCAGCCACACUGGGACUGAGACACGGCCCAGACUCCUACGGGAGGCAGCAGUGGGGAAGUUUGGACAAUGGGCGCAAGCCUGAUCCAGCAAUGCCGCGUGCAGGAUGAAGGCCUUCGGGUUGUAAACUGCUUUUGUACGGAACGAAAAGCCCUGGGUUAAUACCCUGGGGUCAUGACGGUACCGUAAGAAUAAGCACCGGCUAACUACGUGCCAGCAGCCGCCGUAACAC